GUAUAAAUUUAUAGGCACAAAGGCCCGUUUAUAACAUUCUAUAACAUACUUUGGGGUAUAUGAAAAACAUAAACCUGAAAAUGUAAGGAAAGAAAAAGAUCAAUCCUCAAACCUGAAUAUGCCAAGGCAUGUCCAGAAAGAUAUUCAGAUUUACAAAAGGUGCACAGGUGGAGAUAUAUAAAGAUGACAAGUGUGCACACAUGCUCCCGAGAGAACCAGCAACAACCUAUCAGGUUUAUUUCAAUAAUGAUCCUUCCGCAGGUUCACCUACGGAAA
rnacentral:misc_RNA from 1 species